GGGCAUCAGGAAGAAAGCUUGCUUUCUUUGCUGGCGACCCGCGCACGGGUGAGUAACACGUAUCCAACCUGCCCUUUACUCGGGGAUAGCCUUUCGAAAGAAAGAUUAAUACCCGAUAGCAUAAUGAUUCCGCAUGGUUUCAUUAUUAAAGGAUUCCGGUAAAGGAUGGGGAUGCGUUCCAUUAGGUUGUUGGUGAGGUAACGGCUCACCAAGCCUCCGAUGGAUAGGGGUUCUGAGAGGAAGGUCCCCCACAUUGGAACUGAGACACGGUCCAAACUCCUACGGGAGGCAGCAGUGAGGAAUAUUGGUCAAUGGGCGCUAGCCUGAACCAGCCAAGUAGCGUGAAGGAUGAAGGCUCUAUGGGUCGUAAACUUCUUUUAUAUACGAAUAAAGUGCAGUAUGUAUACUGUUUUGUAUGUAUUAUAUGAAUAAGGAUCGGCUAACUCCGUGCCAGCAGCCGCGGUAAUACGGAGGAUCCGAGCGUUAUCCGGAUUUAUUGGGUUUAAAGGGAGCGUAGGUGGACUGGUAAGUCAGUUGUGAAAGUUUGCGGCUCAACCGUAAAAUUGCAGUUGAUACUGUCAGUCUUGAGUACAGUAGAGGUGGGCGGAAUUCGUGGUGUAGCGGUGAAAUGCUUAGAUAUCACGAAGAACUCCGAUUGCGAAGGCAGCUCCCUGGACUGCAACUGACGCUGAGGCUCGAAAGCGUGGGGAGCAAACAGGAUUAGAUACCCUG
rnacentral:rRNA from 1 species